GCCGCUGUAGCUCAGCUGGUAGAGCACAUCAUUCGUAAUGAUGGGGUCGGGGGUUCGAAUCCCUUCAGCGGCACCA
rnacentral:tRNA from 3 species